GAUAAACGCUGGCGGCGUGCAUGAGACAUGCAAGUCGAACGGACGAUCGAGGCUUGCUUCGAUCGUUAGUGGCGGACGGCUGAGUAACGCGUAGGUGACCUGCCCCGAAGUGGGGAAUAACUGCCCGAAAGGGUGGCUAAUACCGCAUGUGGUGGUGUGUUCAAUCACACCAGUAAAGCCGCAAGGCGCUUCGGGAGGGGCCUGCGCCCGAUUAGCUCGUUGGGGGGUAACGGCUCACCAAGGCGACGAUCGGUAGGUGGUCUGAGAGGACGAUCACCCAGACUGGGACUGAGACACGGCCCAGACUCCUACGGGAGGCAGCAGUCGGGAAUUUUGCGCAAUGGACGAAAGUCUGACGCAGCAACGCCGCGUGAGGGAU
rnacentral:rRNA from 1 species